GAAGUAAAUUACCUGGGCAGUGACUCUGACUUCAUCAGGUACCAAAUGGAUAACAAAAACUACUUAAUAGCCUCUGGAUCCUCCUCCAGAGACACGUCAGAGUCUGAGGGACGACUGGUGUAGGAGUCCGCUGAACCCUGAGUAAGAAAAGGAGAAAGAGGAGGCGGAAGGACAGAAGAGACCAAACCGACUGCAGCUCAGGGACCAGACGGAAGAGAGUGUGGAGAGUCAGUGAGAAAAUUAUCAGGUGUCAGGCACGCUCUAAACCGUGGGAGGUGCAGACAGGCAUGAAGAUAUCUGCAGAAACUGAGUGAGUGUGACUGUGUUGAGGUUUAAAUAGAGG